GGCACCAGCCCUCACACAGAGGCGUGCUACAGACAUGUGCUUUGAACAUGACAGGUUUUUGUACAGCCAUGUGUCACUGUGGAAUGUCUUCGGAGGAGGAACCCAGCUGACCGUCCUUGGGCAGCCAAAGGCAUCUCCUACCGUGCACCUCUUCCCUCCAUCCUCGGAGGAGCUGCAAACCAAGAACAAAGCCACCCUGGUGUGUCUGCUGGGCAGCUUCUACCCCGGCUCCGUCCAAGUGACCUGGAAAGCUGAUGGCAAGCAGAUCUCCACGGGAGUGGAGACCACCAAGCCUUCCAAGCAGAGCGACAACAAGUACAUGGCCAGCAGUUACCUGUCUCUGGAUGCAUCCAAGUGGACGUCCCAUGAUACCUACACCUGUCAGGUGACACACGAUGGCAAGACCCUGGAGAGGUCCCUGAAGCGAUCGGAGUGUUCGUAACCCUCUGACCCUAGGGGGCGCAGCCGGUGCCCACGUCAGCCCGUCGGGGGCUCCCAGAGGAGACGGGAUCUCCUAGCGUGGCCAUGAUGCUGAUUUCCAGCAAGUCUCCUUCCUCUUCUGGGGGGUGGGAUUAUGUUGAUCCACUCGACACCUGUCUUUGUUCCCAGUUCCCCUCUGCUCCCACCCCCGGCAAUCCCUGGCCAGUCCCCCCUGCUGUAGUCUCCCAUG